rnacentral:rRNA from 1 species
CUACGGGGCGCAGCAGUGGGGAAUAUUGCACAAUGGAGGAAACUCUGAUGCAGCAACGCCGCGUGGAGGAUGACACUUUUCGGAGCGUAAACUCCUUUUAUAUAGGAAGAAGAUGACGGUACUAUAUGAAUAAGCGCCGGCUAACUCCGUGCCAGCAGCCGCGGUAAUACGGAGGGCGCAAGCGUUACUCGGAGUCACUGGGCGUAAAGAGCGUGUAGGCGGAUUAAAAGGCCAGAAGUGAAAUCCUAUAGCUUAACUAUAGAACUGCUUCUGAAACUCUUAAUCUAGAAUAUGGGAGAGGUAGAUGGAAUUUCUGGUGUAGGGGUAAAAUCCGUAGAGAUCAGAAGGAAUACCGAUUGCGAAGGCGAUCUACUAGAACAUUAUUGACGCUGAGACGCGAAAGCGUGGGGAGCAAACAGGAUUAGAUACCCCUGUAGUC